CCUACGGGAGGCAGCAGUGGGGAAUAUUGCACAAUGGGCGCAAGCCUGAUGCAGCCAUGCCGCGUGUGUGAAGAAGGCCUUCGGGUUGUAAAGCACUUUCAGCGGGGAGGAAGGCGGUGAGGUUAAUAACCUCAUCGAUUGACGUUACCCGCAGAAGAAGCACCGGCUAACUCCGUGCCAGCAGCUGCGGUAAUACGGAGGGUGCAAGCGUUAAUCGGAAUUACUGGGCGUAAAGCGCACGCAGGCGGUCUGUCAAGUCGGAUGUGAAAUCCCCGGGCUCAACCUGGGAACUGCAUUCGAAACUGGCAGGCUAGAGUCUUGUAGAGGGGGGUAGAAUUCCAGGUGUAGCGGUGAAAUGCGUAGAGAUCUGGAGGAAUACCGGUGGCGAAGGCGGCCCCCUGGACAAAGACUGACGCUCAGGUGCGAAAGCGUGGGGAGCAAACAGGAUUAGAUACCCCAGUAGUC
rnacentral:rRNA from 1 species